rnacentral:rRNA from 1 species
UCUACGGAGGAAAGGGGGGGAUCGCAAGACCUCCCGCUACAGGGGCGGCCGAUGGCAGAUUAGCUAGUUGGUGGGGUAAAGGCCUACCAAGGCGACGAUCUGUAGCUGGUCUGAGAGGACGACCAGCCACACUGGGACUGAGACACGGCCCAGACUCCUACGGGAGGCAGCAGUGGGGAAUUUUGGACAAUGGGGGAAACCCUGAUCCAGCAAUGCCGCGUGUGUGAAGAAGGCCUUCGGGUUGUAAAGCACUUUUGUCCGGAAAGAAAUCCUUUGAGUUAAUACCCUGUGGGGAUGACGGUACCGGAAGAAUAAGCACCGGCUAACUACGUGCCAGCAGCCGCGGUAAUACGUAGGGUGCAAGCGUUAAUCGGAAUUACUGGGCGUAAAGCGUGCGCAGGCGGUCCGCUAAGACAGAUGUGAAAUCCCCGGGCUUAACCUGGGAACUGCAUUUGUGACUGGCGGGCUAGAGUAUGGCAGAGGGGGGUAGAAUUCCACGUGUAGCAGUGAAAUGCGUAGAGAUGUGGAGGAAUACCGAUGGCGAAGGCAGCCCCCUGGGCCAAUACUGACGCUCA